CCUACGGGAGGCUGCAGUGGGGAAUAUUGGGCAAUGGGCGCAAGCCUGACCCAGCAACGCCGCGUGAAGGAAGAAGGCUUUCGGGUUGUAAACCUCUUUUGUCGGGGAGCAAAAGCCGGACGUGUCCGGCUGUGAGAGUACCCGAAGAAAAAGCAUCGGCUAACUCCGUGCCAGCAGCCGCGGUAAUACGGAGGAUGCGAGCGUUAUCCGGUUUUAUUGGGUUUAAAGGGUGCGCAGGCGGAUUUUUAAGUCAGCGGUCAAAUCGUGGGGCUCAACCCCAUCCAGCCGUUGAAACUGGGGAUCUAGAGUGUGCGAGAGGUAUGCGGAAUGCGUGGUGUAGCGGUGAAAUGCAUAGAUAGCACGCAGAACCCCGAUUGCGAAGGCAGCUUACCAAACUAUAUCUGACGUUGAGGCACGAAAGCGUGGGUAGCAAACAGGAUUAGAUACCCUUGUAGUC
rnacentral:rRNA from 1 species